GCGUUGGUGGUUUAGUGGUAAAAUUCAUCGUUGCCAUACAUCUUAAUAAGAUCAAAUUAGAAUGGAAGAUUCGAUGAGCCCCGGGUUCGAUUCCCGGCCGACGCA